rnacentral:miRNA from 1 species
GGUUGGCCAAUAAACUCGUUUGGGUUUUCUAGAAAGUAUAAUGGACAAACCUGAACAAACUUUUUGGCCAAC